CAAAGCGCGGCCACAUCGCAGCGAAGCAGAGGGGACCUCGACUUUUCCCUCUAUUUGUUUCGCAGCUGUGCAGCUCCAAGGGAAAUCACACGGCCGUGCUUUUCUCAUUAAGCGCCGUCACAUUUUCCAGACAGAAGCUCAGAGCCCAGUGCUGUAAAACUGGGAUUUUUUUCCUCCUUUUUCAGCUGCAGAUGCUUAAAGAUCCCUGGCUGAAGGAUCCUUCCCGGCCCCACUGUGAGCAAUGCGUGGGGCACCCCAACCCCAACCCCAACCCCAACCAAACUGCCACAUGGAGCAAGCAAUGGUGGGUCAAGGAGGUAUCUGUAUGUGUACAGGUGGGUGUUGUCCCAGCAGAGGAGCCCCCCACACAGACGUUGCAGCUCCAUUGCCCCCAGCCCGCCCAGGGCUGCACCGCCGGCUCUUCGCAUCGCGUGAUCCCGAGCUGCUUUUGAAGGAUGUGACCUAAUUAAGGCUCAGCUCUUCUCAAUAUGAUUUUCAUAGUCCCACGGGUUCCUUUUCCCCGUGCGACCGGCCGGCCCGGCUGGGCCUCCUGGGACGUCUGGGAGCAGGAGGAGAGAACAUCAGAGCGCAGCCCCAUGCGGUGCGGUGCAAAGGCCGUGCAUGGCCCCCACUUUGCCUCCUUGCUGCAGUGCUGAUAGCGCAGAGCUGAGGGCUCCCUGCAGCCCCCCUGGCCGUGCCAUUGAGCUGAGUUUGCCAAGCUGAGGCAGUUGCCAUCGAGCCCCAGGGGUGGGUGUCAGGGCUGAGCCUCAGCGCCACAGGGCCGUCCCCAUUUCCUUUGGGUAGGGACCCCUUCCCACGGGGAAGGCCCAUUCGCCCGUUUUUGGCUAAAAACAGAAUAAAUGGUUCAACUCUGACCCCAAACCCGGCCCAGUCCCAACCUUCACCACCCACAGCAGCCAGACACCGAGCCUGGGGGCUGUUGGACGGGGAAAGAGGUGGCCUUUGUGUUGCAUUUGUAGGAUGUGUCCCCUCAGUGGGGCCCUGACCCAGGGCUGAGCAGGAGGAAGCCCCCGUUGCAGAACCCGGGUGCACUGUGGACAGCAUGGAGAAAACCCAUUCACUCAUACACCGAGUGCCCCAUGCUUUGGCUGGAAUGGUGUUCCCGUGCACCAGGAGCGGGUGAGCAGCUCGGCCAGGCCAGGGCGGCUGUAGGGUGCAUCACACAGACACCCCUUGCAGGAGGAGACGUCCCAACUCCCAGCACUCCCAGUGCUCCCGGUGUGCUGCUGCCUGCAUCUGCUCCGGGGCAUCGCCUUCCCCACGCUGCCAGCCUGCAGCAAAAUGGCAUUUCAGAGCGUCGUGGCAAAACGGCAUCCCGACAUCAUACAACCACACAACCGUAUCACUUCUUGGCAUUAAAACCAGAG
ensembl:lncRNA